UACGGGGGGGGCAAGCGUUGUUCGGAAUUACUGGGCGUAAAGGGCGCGUAGGCGGCCUUCUAAGUCGAACGUGAAAUCCCCGGGCUCAACCCGGGAACUGCGUCCGAUACUGGAAGGCUUGAAUCCGGGAGAGGGAUGCGGAAUUCCAGGUGUAGCGGUGAAAUGCGUAGAUAUCUGGAGGAACACCGGUGGCGAAGGCGGCAUCCUGGACCGGUAUUGACGCUGAGGCGCGAAAGCCAGGGGAGCAAACGGG
rnacentral:rRNA from 1 species